ACACACACGCGCGCGCACACACACAUACGCAUGUACACGCGCACCCGCACCCGCGCGCCUGUAUCCCGUGCUGUUUCCCUGGCAGACACACAGGCGCUCACGAGUCUCUCCUUGCCAGCCUGCAGAGCAGCGACCCCCAAAACCAGCUCCGGGUCCCAACCUAGGCAAGAAGCUGCUUCUCUGCAAACAGCUCCUCUUCGGCCUCCGUCACAGCCACCUGGACCCUACCCUUUGGCGACUGCUGCUGCUCCUGCCGGGACGUGGAAGCAGCAAGAGGCGCUUGGUCAAGACACACUGACGAUCAUAUAUUUUAGUUCUCUGUUUCCAUAUGUGGUACUUAUAUGCUUCCUCAUCAGAGCACUCCUUUUAAAUGGUUCAAUUGAUGGCAUUCGCCACAUGUUUACCCCUAAGGUCUGGGAUUUGGUGGUGUCAUUGCCUUUUCAAGCUACAACAAGAGAGACAACAACUGCCACUUUGAUGCUGUCCUGGUGUCCUUCAUCAAUUUUUUCACUUCUGUCCUGGCAACAUUGGUGGUGUUUGCAGUUCUGGGCUUCAAAGCAAAUGUCAUAAAUGAGAAAUGCAUUACACA
rnacentral:sRNA from 1 species